rnacentral:rRNA from 1 species
GAUGAACGCUGGCGGCGUGCCUAAUACAUGCAAGUCGAGCGAACAGACGAGUAGCUUGCUCCUCUGACGUUAGCGGCGGACGGGUGAGUAACACGUGGAUAACCUACCUAUAAGACUGGGAUAACUUCGGGAAACCGGAGCUAAUACCGGAUAAUAUAUUGAACCGCAUGGUUCAAUAGUGAAAGACGGUUUUGCUGUCACUUAUAGAUGGAUCCGCGCCGCAUUAGCUAGUUGGUAAGGUAACGGCUUACCAAGGCAACGAUGCGUAGCCGACCUGAGAGGGGGGUCGGCCACACUGGAACUGAGACACGGUCCAGACUCCUACGGGAGGCAGCAGUAGGGAAUCUUCCGCAAUGGGCGAAAGCCUGACGGAGCAACGCCGCGUGAGUGAUGAAGGUCUUCGGAUCGUAAAACUCUGUUAUUAGGGAAGAACAAAUGCGUAAGUAACUAUGCACGUCUUGACGGUACCUAAUCAGAAAGCCACGGCUAACUACGUG